AUCAUGUCUCAACCCCCACCC
rnacentral:misc_RNA from 1 species